UACGUAGGGGGCAAGCGUUAUCCGGAAUUACUGGGCGUAAAGCGCACGCAGGCGGUUUGCCAAGUUCGGGGUGACAGUUUCCGGCUCAACCAAGGAAGUGCAUCCGAAACUGCUGAGCUUGAGUACUUAAGAGGAUCGCGGAAUUCCCGGUGUAGAGGUGAAAUUCGUAGAUAUCGGGAGGAACACCAGUGGCGAAGGCGGCGAUCUGGGAAGAUACUGACGCUGAGGUGCGAAAGCGUGGGGAGCAAACAGG
rnacentral:rRNA from 1 species